rnacentral:rRNA from 1 species
CGGGUGGGUAGUGGGGGUCGAUUUAGCCAUGCUAGUUGCACGAGUUUAGACUCGUAGCAUAUAGCUCAGUAACACGUGGCCAAACUACCCUACAGACCGCAAUAACCUCGGGAAACUGAGGCCAAUAGCGGAUAUAACUCUCAGGCUGGAGUGCCGAGAGUUAGAAACGUUCCGGCGCUGUAGGAUGUGGCUGCGGCCGAUUAGGUAGAUGGUGGGGUAACGGCCCACCAUGCCGAUAAUCGGUACAGGUUGUGAGAGCAAGAGCCUGGAGACGGUAUCUGAGACAAGAUACCGGGCCCUACGGGGCGCAGCAGGCGCGAAACCUUUACACUGCACGACAGUGCGAUAGGGGGACUCCGAGUGUGAGGGCAUAUAGCCCUCGCUUUUCUGAACCGUAAGGUGGUUCAGGAACAAGGACUGGGCAAGACCGGUGCCAGCCGCCGCGGUAAUACCGGCAGUCCAAGUGAUGGCCGAUAUUAUUGGGCCUAAAGCGUCCGUAGCUUGCUGUGUAAGUCCAUUGGGAAAUCGACCAGCUCAACUGGUCGGCGUCCGGUGGAAACUACACAGCUUGGGGCCGAGAGACUCAACGGGUACGUCCGGGGUAGGAGUGAAAUCCUGUAAUCCUGGACGGACCACCAAUGGGGAAACCACGUUGAGAGACCGGACCCGACAGUGAGGGACGAAAGCCAGGGUCUCGAACCGGAUUAGAUACCCGGGUAGUCCUGGCUGUAAACAAUGCUCGCUAGGUAUGUCACGCGCCAUGAGCACGUGAUGUGCCGUAGUGAAGACGAUAAGCGAGCCGCCUGGGAAGUACGUCCGCAAGGAUGAAACUUAAAGGAAUUUGGCGGGGGAGCACCACAACCGGAGGAGCCUGCGGUUUAUUGGAUCACACCGCCCGGG